rnacentral:rRNA from 1 species
GACGAACGCUGGCGGCGUGCCUAAUACAUGCAAGUAGAACGCUGAAGGAGGAGCUUGCUUCUCUGGAUGAGUUGCGAACGGGUGUGUAACGCGUAGGUAACCUGCCUGGUAGCGGGGGGUAACUAUUGGAAACGAUAGCUAAUACCGCAUAAUAGAAGAUGUUGCAUGACAUUUGCUUAUAAGGUGCAAUUGCACCACUACUAGUUGGACCUGCGGUGUAUUAGUUAGUUGGUGGGGUAACGGCUCAACAAGGCGACGAUACAUAGCCGACCUGGGAGGGUGGUCGGCCACACUGGGACCGGGACACGGCCCAGACUCCUACGGGAGGCAGCAGUAGGGAAUCUUCCGCAAUGGGCGGAAGUCUUACCGGGCCACGCCGCGUGAGUGAAGAAGGUUUUCCGAUCGUAAAGCUCUGUUGUAAGGGAAGAACGAGUGUUAGAGUGGAAUGUUCACGCUGUGACGGUAUCUUACCAGAAAGGCACGGCUAACUACGUG